GAUGAACGCUGGCGGCGUGCUUAACACAUGCAAGUCGAACGAUGAAGCCCAGCUUGCUGGGUGGAUUAGUGGCGAACGGGUGAGUAACACGUGAGCAACCUGCCCCUGACUCUGGGAUAAGCGCUGGAAACGGCGUCUAAUACUGGAUAUGUCCCGUCACCGCAUGGUGUGCGGGUGGAAAGAUUUUUCGGUUGGGGAUGGGCUCGCGGCCUAUCAGCUUGUUGGUGAGGUAAUGGCUCACCAAGGCGUCGACGAGUAGCCGGCCUGAGAGGGUGACCGGCCACACUGGGACUGAGACACGGCCCAGACUUCUACGGGAGGCAGCAGUGGGGAAUAUUGCACAAUGGGCGGAAGCCUGAUGCAGCAACGCCGCGUGAGGGAUGACGGCCUUCGGGUUGUAAACCUCUUUUAGCAGGGAAGAAGCGAAAGUGACGGUACCUGCAGAAAAAGCACCGGCUAACUACGUG
rnacentral:rRNA from 1 species